GAUGAACGCUAGCGGCAGGCCUAACACAUGCAAGUCGAGGGGUAACUAGAGUGAUAGCAAUAUUACUUUGGCUAGACCGGCGCACGGGUGCGUAACACGUAUGCAACCUACCUUAUACUGGGGUAUAACUUCGAGAAAUCGGCGCUAAUACCCCAUAACAUUGCGAAGAGGCAUCUCUUUGCAAUUAAAGCUCCGGCGGUAUAAGAUGGGCAUGCGUCCAAUUAGCUAGUUGGUGAGGUAACGGCUCACCAAGGCUACGAUUGGUAGGGGUUGUGAGAGGAUGAUCCCACCGACUGGUACUGAGACACGGACCAGACUCCUACGGGAGGCAGCAGUGAGGAAUAUUGCGCAAUGGACGAAAGUCUGACGCAGCCAUGCCGCGUGCAGGAUGACGGCCCUAUGGGUUGUAAACUGCUUUUGUACGGGAAUAAACCCUUCUACGUGUAGGAGGCUGAAGGUACCGUACGAAUAAGCACCGGCUAACUCCGUGCCAGCCGCCGCCGUAACAC
rnacentral:rRNA from 1 species